rnacentral:rRNA from 1 species
CCUACGGGAGGCAGCAGUGAGGAAUAUUGGUCAAUGGGCGAGAGCCUGAACCAGCCAAGUCGCGUGAGGGAUGACGGUCCUAUGGAUUGUAAACCUCUUUUGUCAGGGAACAAAGGCGGCCACGUGUGGACUGAUGAGUGUACCCGAAGAAAAAGGAUCGGCUAACUCCGUGCCAGCAGCCGCGGUAAUACGGAGGAUGCGAGCGUUCUCCGGAUUUAUUGGGUUUAAAGGGUGCGUAGGCGGACAGUCAAGUCAGCGGUAAAAAUGCGGUGCUCAACGCCGUACAGCCGUUGAAACUGGCAGUCUUGAGUGGGCGAGAAGUAUGCGGAAUGCGUGGUGUAGCGGUGAAAUGCAUAGAUAUCACGCAGAACCCCGAUUGCGAAGGCAGCAUACCGGCGCACUACUGACGCUGAGGCACGAAAGCGUGGGUAUCGAACAGGAUUAGAUACCCCUGUAGUC